rnacentral:rRNA from 1 species
CAGCGGAGCUUGCUCCGGCUGACGAGUGGCGGACGGGUGAGUAACGCGUAGGAAUCUACCCAGUAGCGGGGGAUAGCCCGGGGAAACCCGGAAUAAUACCGCAUACGCCCCACGGGGGAAAGAGGGCCUCUUCUUGAAAGCUCUCACUAUUGGAGGAGCCUGCGUUGGAUUAGCUAGUUGGUGGGGUAAAGGCCCACCAAGGCGACGAUCCUUAGCUGGUCUGAGAGGAUGAUCAGCCACACUGGAACUGAGACACGGUCCAGACUCCUACGGGAGGCAGCAGUGGGGAAUAUUGCGCAAUGGGCGAAAGCCUGACGCAGCCAUGCCGCGUGUGUGAAGAAGGCCUUAGGGUUGUAAAGCACUUUCAAUUGGGAAGAAAAGUUUGUCGUUAAUAGCGCCAAGCUCUGACAUUACCUUUAGAAGAAGCACCGGCUAACUCCGUGCCAGCAGCCGCGGUAAUACGGAGGGUGCGAGCGUUAAUCGGAAUUACUGGGCGUAAAGCGCGCGUAGGCGGUUUGUUAAGUCAGCUGUGAAAGCCCCGGGCUCAACCUG